rnacentral:rRNA from 1 species
UACGUAGGGGGCAAGCGUUGUCCGGAUUUAUUGGGCGUAAAGCGCUCGCAGGUGGUUCAUUGCGUCGUGCGUGAAAGACCCCGGCUCAACUGGGGAGGGUCGUGCGAAACGGGUGAACUAGAGGCCAGUAGGGGGAUGCGGAAUUCCAGGUGUAGCGGUGAAAUGCGUAGAUAUCUGGAGGAAUACCGGUGGCGAAGGCGGCAUCCUGGACCGGCAUUGACGCUGAGGAGCGAAAGCCAGGGGAGCAAACGGG